rnacentral:rRNA from 1 species
UAGCGUAGGGGCGUAGCGUUGUCCGGAAUUAUUGGGCGUAAAGAGCUCGUAGGCGGUUUGUCGCGUCUGCCGUGAAAGUCCGGGCUCAACUCCGGAUCUGCGGUGGAUACGGGCUGGCUAGAGGUAGGUAGGGGCAAGCGGAAUUCCUGGUGUAGCGGUGAAAUGCGCAGAUAUCAGGAGGAACACCGGUGGCGAAGGCGGCUGCUGGGCCUACCUGACGCUGAGGAGCGAAAGCGUGGGGAGCGAACAGG